GAUGAACGCUAGCUACAGGCUUAACACAUGCAAGUCGAGGGGUCUUUUGGAGCUUGCUUUAAAAGACGACCGGCGCACGGGUGAGUAACGCGUAUCCAACCUGCCCUUCAUAUUGGGAUAGCCUUCCGAAAGGAAGAUUAAUACCGAAUAACAUAGAGUGGUUGCCUGAUUUCUCUAUGAAAGCUCCGGCGAUGAAGGAUGGGGAUGCGUUCCAUUAGGUAGUAGGGGGGGUAACGGCCCACCUAGCCGACGAUGGAUAGGGGUUCUGAGAGGAAGGUCCCCCACACUGGAACUGAGACACGGUCCAGACUCCUACGGGAGGCAGCAGUGAGGAAUAUUGGUCAAUGGGCGCAAGCCUGAACCAGCCAAGUAGCGUGAAGGAUGACUGCCCUAUGGGUUGUAAACUUCUUUUAUACGGGAACAAACCUUGGUACGUGUACCAAAUUGCGUGUACCGUAUGAAUAAGCAUCGGCUAACUCCGUGCCAGCAGCCGCGGUAAAAC
rnacentral:rRNA from 1 species